AGGACGAACGCUGGCGGUGUGCCUCAUACAUGCAAGUCGAACGAGAAGUAGUCUUCGGAUUGUGGAAAGUGGCGGACGGGUGAGUAAUAUGUAGGAAAUCUGCCCUAGAGAGGGGGACAACAGAGGGAAACUUCUGCUAAUACCCCAUAUGAGCUUGGUUGAAAUACCAAUCUUGAAAACUCCGGUGCUCUAGGAUGAGCCUGCAUCUGAUUAGCUAGUUGGUGGUGUAAUGGACCACAAAGGCGACGAUCAGUAGCUGGUUUGAGAGGAUGAUCAGCCACAAUGGGACUGAGACACGGCCCAUACUCCUACGGGAGGCAGCAGUAGGGAAUUUUGCGCAAUGGGGGAAACCCUGAACCGCAGCAACACCGCGUGAAUGUUAAGCCCUUCGGGGUAUAAAGUUCUGUCAAUGGGGAAGAAUAAAUGACUGUACCCAUAAAGGAAGCACCGGCUAACUCCGUGCCAGCAGCUGC
rnacentral:rRNA from 1 species